GUGUACGUAGUUUAGUGGUAAAAAGCCCAUCAGAGCAGCACCGUCAAUUGGCGGUGCUGGACGGGAGCCCCAGCGUUCAAUUCCUGGCGUACACC